GACGAACGCUUUCUUCUUUCCUAACACAUGCAAGUUGAGCGACGAACCAGGGCUUGCCCUGGGGCAAAGCAGCGAACGGGUGAGUAACACGUGGGUAACCUACCCCGAUAACCGGGACAACCCGAGGAAACUCGGGCUAAUACCGGAUGUGCUCACUGGACUUCGGUUCAGUGCGUAAAGGAAGCUUCGGCCUCCGUAUCGGGAGGGGCCCGCGGCCCAUUAGUUUGUUGGUGAGGUAACGGCUCACCAAGACCGCGAUGGGUAGCUGGUCUGAGAGGACGAUCAGCCACACUGGGACUGAGACACGGCCCAGACUCCUACGGGAGGCAGCAGUGGGGAAUCUUGCGCAAUGCGCGAAAGCGUGACGCAGCAACGCCGCGUGGGGGAAGAAGGCCUUCGGGUUGUAAACCCCUUUCAGGAGGGACGAAGGUUCGGCGGUGAAUAGCCGUCCGGACUGACGGUACCUCCACAAGAAGCCCCGGCUAACUACGUG
rnacentral:rRNA from 1 species